rnacentral:rRNA from 1 species
UGGCGGCGUGCCUAACACAUGCAAGUCGAACGGAACGUCCAAGAUGAGACUUCGGUGGAGUUUUGGAAAUUCUAGUGGCGGACGGGUGGAGUAAACGCGUGGGUAACCUGCCCUUAAGAGGUGAAUAACAAACGAGAAAUCGGUGCUAAUACACCAUAUGCUUACAAGUGUCGCAUGACACAGUGAGGAAAGAAUUUCGCUUAAGGAUGGACCCGCGUUUGAUUAGCCAGUUGGCAGGGUAACGGCCUACCAAAGCAACGAUCAAUAGCCGGCCUGAGAGGGUGAACGGCCACAUUGGAACUGAGACACGGUCCAAACUCCUACGGGAGGCAGCAGUGGGGAGUAUUGCACAAUGGGCGCAAGCCCUGAUGCAGCAACGCCGCGUGAGUGAAGAAGUAUUUCGGUAUGUAAAGCUCUAUCGAUGGGGAAUAAAAUGAAGGUACCCAAGUAAGAAGCCCCGGCUAACUACGUGCCAGCCGCCGC